ensembl:lncRNA
UGAGGUGGGUGCUGGGACCCCCCCCCACCGAAGGGGAUGACCGAAAGCGGGGGUUCUGGCCCCAAAACGCGACGUUUUUGCCCUAUUACCUUGUGUCGGGACACGUUCACCUCGUAGCGGGACCCCGUUGUCCCGUAUUGGGCCCUUUUUACCCCAAAACGGCCCUAUUAGCACACACCGGGACCCCUUUACCCCAAAACAACCCCGCCACCUCACCCCAGGACCCCGUUACCUCUCACCAUGGCCCCCUCACCUCGUUUUAGGACCCCCUCACCUCAUUUUAGGACCCCUUUUCCCCAUUUUAGGACCCUUUUACCUCAUUCUGGGACCCCCUCGCCUCACACCGGGACCCUAUAACCUCACUUAAGCGCCCCUUUACCUUAUUUUAGGCCCCCUUCACCUCAGAUCAGGACCCCUUUACCUCGUAUCGAAACCCUUUUAUCUCAUUUUAGGGCUUCCUUACCUCAUUUGGGAUCCCCUUUCCUCAUUUUGGGGACCUUUUACCUCAUUUUGGGACCCUUUCACUUCAUUUUGGGGCCCUUUUACCUCAUCCCGGGACCCCCUCACCUCAUUUUGGGGCCCUUUUACCUCAUUUUGGGACCCUUUUACCUCAUUUUGGGACCCUUUUACCUCAUUUUGGGACCCUUUUACCUCAUUUUGGGACCCUUUUACCUCAUUUUGGGACCCUUUUACCUCAUUUUGGGACCCUUUUACCUCAUUUUGGGACCCUUUUACCUCAUUU